AUUGAACGCUGGCGGCAGGCCUAACACAUGCAAGUCGAACGAGUGGCGGACGGGUGAGUAAUGUCUGGGAAACUGCCUGAUGGAGGGGGAUAACUACUGGCAACGGUAGCUAAUACCGCAUACCUUCGUAUGUGCCCAGAUGGGAUUAGCUUGUUGGUGGGGUAACGGCUCACCAAGGCGACGAGCCCUAGUUGGUCUGAGAGGAUGAACGGACACACUGGAAAUGAGACACGGUCAAGACUCCUACGGGAGGCAGCAGUGGGGAAGAUUGCACAAUGGGCGCAAGCCUGAUGCAGCCAUGCCGCGUGUAUGAAGAAGGCCUUCGGGUUGUAAAAUACUUUCAGAAGGGAGGCGUAACCCGCAGGAGAAGCACCGGCUAACUCCGUGCCAGCCGACGCGGUAAUAC
rnacentral:rRNA from 1 species